rnacentral:rRNA from 1 species
CCUACGGGGGACAGCAGUCGAGAAUCAUUCACAAUGGGGGAAACCCUGAUGGUGCGACGCCGCGUGGGGGAAUGAAGGUCUUCGGAUUGUAAACCCCUGUCAUGUGGGAGCAAAUUAAAAAGAUAGUACCACAAGAGGAAGAGACGGCUAACUCUGUGCCAGCAGCCGCGGUAAUACAGAGGUCUCAAGCGUUGUUCGGAAUCACUGGGCGUAAAGCGUGCGUAGGCUGUUUCGUAAGUCGUGUGUGAAAGGCGCGGACUCAACCCGCGGACGGCACAUGAUACUGCGAGACUAGAGUAAUGGAGGGGGAACCGGAAUUCUCGGUGUAGCAGUGAAAUGCGUAGAUAUCGAGAGGAACACUCGUGGCGAAGGCGGGUUCCUGGACAUUAACUGACGCUGAGGCACGAAGGCCAGGGGAGCGAAAGGGAUUAGAUACCCGAGUAGUC